rnacentral:RNase_P_RNA from 1 species
CGAUGGCAGAUGAUCGCUGGUGAGCCGCAAGGCUUGCUGGAGGAAAGUCCGAACACCAUACGGCAGCAUGCCGCGUAAAAUACGCGGGCAACGUCCGCGAAAGCGGGCGUUGACGGAGAGUGUCACAGAAAACACACCGCCGGUUCUUUGAAAAAAGCACAGGCAAGGGUGAAAAGGCGAGGUAAGAGCUCACCGCUCGCGGAGUAAUUCGCGAGGCACGAAAAACCCCAUGUGGUGCAAGACAAAACAGAGGAAGGGUAGCCGGCCCGCUAAGAUCCUCGGGUACCGUCGCACCACGGCGACUGUAGCGGCGGUCUGUGACCGCCGAGCCGCGGUUGCUGGGCGAUUCACGAAAGUGAGUCGAGAUAAAUGAUCAUCGCGGCUGAGAGAUCAGCCAAACAGAAUUCGGCUUAUCGCCAUCGAAAU